AUCCAGCUGACGAGUCUCAAAUAGGAUGAAACGUGCGUCCUGUAU
rnacentral:hammerhead_ribozyme from 1 species